GUAAAUGACCUAUUAAUACUUUUUAUGCGCUUUACUUAUUAUGCAGCUUAUCAUUUUAAAUGAAAAAUAAUAAUACUUAUUAAAGUAAUAGCAAUUUAAUGACUCUCUUGACUUUUCUCUUUUUUUUAUUGUUAGGUUAAUGGCAUUUAUACUCUCUAAUCAUUAUAGUUCACAUGAUAUUCUACUAUUUUACUUGUUUCUUUGGCCACAACUUACUAAAGAUUCAUUGUAUUGUGCAGUGUAUCAAAUAUCAUGACUAGUAGAACCAAAGGAGUGCGUAAGAAUAAAGGUACAAGUUUGCAAGCUAAUCUAGAGCCAAAGCAAACCCCUGAUGAAGGAAGUCGAGAUGCAAACAUGCAGUCUACUAUGGAUGGCGUAAGACUACUGUUAAUGCUCCUGUACAGACACAACACAUUGUGAACGACUCACAAAUUAAUCUGGAACGUAUCCAAAUACAAAGUGAUGCUAAUCAUCUAGCGGAGUUCUCCACUACACAAGAUACGGGACAAAGUAGCGCUAAUGAACCACUAUCAGAGAUAACUGGAUUUCCUUCUUCUUUGUUGGGAAAGGGAGGUGAACGUCAUGGUUAUGCUGUACAUAUUGUAGGGCAUUCAUUAGGUGGUUCGGUUGCGGCGCUGCUUGGAAUGAGGGUGUCACGCCCCGAGCUCCACCAAUUUGGUCAGAUUCGGGCACGCCGACAGACCGCCGAACGGACAGAGCUUUCCCUGUACGUCCUAGGCGUCACAAUCCAUACGAUGCAGUAGAAGAGGUCCCAACCAGGAACAGCAUUCCAACAUAGAUUGCA